rnacentral:sRNA from 2 species
CCCCCCCCUCCUUACUACAGCGUAAUCAUACUAUUCAUCGCUAGCCUGCUGUUGUUUUGUCUGCCGGCAUUGGCUCCUUUUCGGCGUUUGGGUGCUUCAAGCCUUUUACCACUUUGCUUUUUCGGAUCAGCUGGCUCACUGGUUCUAAAUAUAGAAGCGCAUCUUGGUGCCUUUUUUUUUUUUGCGCUAUCGCCGUGAAAGUGGGAGAAACGCUCUGAGGGGGCCACCACCACCACCACCACCACCACCACUUACCAGCAGCAACCAGCAACCACGGAACCAAAAAAGAGCAGGUUGCACACAAACCACAAACCGUCCGCAGCCGCAGCACGCAGCACGGAGCACGACAACGGCCCACGGACUUCCCAAGCAGGUAUUAUUGUCGUUAUCAUCAAUCUUCUCGAAACGGGGCGCCCAGAUUGAACGACGGUGGAAGGAUACCGAAGACUUGAUUUAACCACAUGGGAAAAGCAGGAAAAGGUCUCGAUUCAAAUUCAAACUUUUUUACUUUUUUCUUUUCUUUUCUUUUCUUUUUUUUUUCUCUUUUGCUUCCCCCCCACCAAAAGUCAAGAAAAAUAAUCCAUCCAAUCAAGGAAAAUAUAGUAACUAUCCAAGUUCUGUACUACUUCUUGUAGCUGUCAUCGAACAUGCCGAGAAUCACAGGUCUACUGCGUAACAACAACAGUAGUUCCUGACAUUAACGUGGGAGUAACGAAGAGACUCCGCUGGAGACUUUUUUGCUUUCCUGCCCCCCCCGUGUGUGGCCUGGAAUCCCCCCUUCAUCCAAGAACCAAAACGAAACUACUGACUCCUGAAGGAAUUCCACCGACGGCCUUCUUCUCUCCCUCCCAAUCUUUCCACCAUAAAGCUCGCUGGCUUUGUAGGUUAAGUUUGUGCGGUAACUAGUUGAGAACGGUCUUUUGUCUCCUAGUUAACUACUGUGUAAACUAGCUUGCAAGGUUCGGCGAUAGCUCGGUAAAUAAAUUCGAUAGUUUUGCUGGGCAGCUUCGGCGAAGCUUGAGGUGGGUUGAGGUGGGGUGUGGGGGGAGCAAGAGAGAGAAAAUGAGAGAGAGAGAGAGAGAGAGAGCUCCCCGGCUUCUUCCCGCCGAGUCCUUCCAGAUCUAUAUUCAGGAGAUCGAGAAGGGUUUUUUUUACCCAGAGUACCACAGGUAGUUCACGAAUGGUAAACGGCCGUGAAUUUUUCGCGAAAGAUGCCGCGGGAGAGGGAGGCAAAUUGAGAAUUUUAUUUUAUGUUAUUUUAUUUUAUUUUAUUCACUUCUGUACAGGCACAUUGCAAAGUUAACUCCUCUGUAUUACUAUUGCAAUCAGUCUUACUGACUGACUUGACCCCAGCUCUCGUGGAAUUCCGGAAUAUCCAAAUCCGCCAUAGCAACAGUUAAUGAAGUCGACAUGUUGAAAUUUCUAUGAUUGAUUCAACUCAGCCAGCCUUAUUCAUUAGAGUUUCGAUAGCGUUUCUGACAUUGUAGUUGUGUGCUAGUAGUAACUAUACUCCAUAUAACAAACAUAAAGUUGUUACGCAAACCUCCUGAAAAAGGCACUGGCAAGCAACGCGAUAAAAAAAAAAAAAAGG